AUACUCCUGACUGACCGAUAGUGAACCAGUACCGUGAGGGAAAGGCGAAAAGAACCCCGGCGAGGGGAGUGAAAAAGAACCUGAAACCGUGUACGUACAAGCAGUGGGAGCACAGGUUUACCUGUGUGACUGCGUACCUUUUGUAUAAUGGGUCAGCGACUUAUAUUCUGUAGCAAGGUUAACCGUAUAGGGGAGCCGGAGGGAAACCGAGUCUUAAUUGGGCGUUAAGUUGCAGGGUAUAGACCCGAAACCCGGUGAUCUAGCCAUGGGCAGGUUGAAGGUUGGGUAACACUAACUGGAGGACCGAACCGACUAAUGUUGAAAAAUUAGCGGAUGACCUGUGGCUGGGGGUGAAAGGCCAAUCAAACCGGGAGAUAGCUGGUUCUCCCCGAAAGCUAUUUAGGUAGCGCCUCGUGAAUUCAUCUCCGGGGGUAGAGCACUGUUUCGGCUAGGGGGCCAUCCCGGCUUACCAACCCGAUGCAAACUGCGAAUACCGGAGAAUGUUAUCACGGGAGACACACGGCGGGUGCUAACGUCCGUCGUGAAGAGGGAAACAACCCAGACCGCCAGCUAAGGUCCCAAAGUCAUGGUUAAGUGGGAAACGAUGUGGGAAGGCCCAGACAGCCAGGAUGUUGGCUUAGAAGCAGCCAUCAUUUAAAGAAAGCGUAAUAGCUCACUGGUCGAGUCGGCCUGCGCGGAAGAUGUAACGGGGCUAAACCAU
rnacentral:rRNA from 1 species